rnacentral:rRNA from 1 species
UACAUAGGGUGCAAGCGUUGUCCGGAAUUAUUGGGCGUAAAGAGCUCGUAGGUCGUUUGUUACGUCGGAUGUGAAACCUGAGGCUCAACCUCAGGCCUGCAUUCGAUACGGGCAAACUAGAGUUUGGUAGGGAGGCUGGAAUUCCUGGUGUAGCGGUGGAAUGCGCAGAUAUCAGGAGGAACACCAAUGGCGAAGGCAGGUCUCUGGGCCAAUACUGACACUGAGGAGCGAAGUCUGGGGAGCGAACAGG